CCUGGUAUAUUCCUACCAGUCCCUAUGCGGGCGUGCUUGCCACGCGCUGUGUGGUCGGUGCGAAGCCCCGUUGACAAAGGAUCGAACUGGGUCGGAUUGGUGACAUGAAGACCCCUCAGGAAAUCCUCUCCUGUUAAGGCC
rfam:Candidatus Magnetomorum sp. HK-1 HK1c1916, whole genome shotgun sequence.